AAACACAAAGGCUUGGUCCUGGCCUUGUAGUUAAUUCCGGGUAAGUUUACACAUGCAAACCUCCCUGAACCUGUGCCUAAUUCCUUAAAGUUCCUCCCCCCCAAACCUAAGGGAAAAGUAUCAAGCACAUACACCAUAGCUUAAGACACUUAGCCUAGCCACACCCCCACGGGACUCAGCAGUGAUAAAUAUUUAGCAAUAAACGAAAGUUUGACUAAGCUAUGCCCUAUAGAGUUGGUAAAUUUCGUGCCAGCCACCGCGGUCAUACGAUUAACUCAAAUUAACUACCCAUCGGCGUAAAACGUGUUAUUGUGACUCCUAAAAAUAGAAUUGAAACCCAACAAAUGCGUAGAAGUUUAUCGUUCGGACCUAAACUCGCUCACGAAGGUAAUUCUAAACUACAGACACACGAUAGCUAAGACCCAAACUGGGAUUAGAUACCCCACUAUGCUUAGCCCUAAACAUAGAUAAUUAACUAACAAAAUUAUUUGCCAGAGAACUACGAGCCAUCGCUUAAAACUCAAAGGACUUGGCGGCGCUUUAUAUCCAUCUAGAGGAGCCUGUUCUAUAAUCGAUAACCCCCGUUAUACCUUACCAUCUCUUGCUAACUCAGCUUAUAUACCGCCAUCAUAAGUGAACCCUAAAAAGGAACUGAAGUAUACGAGAAAAUCAAACAUAAAGACGCUAGGUCAAGGUGUAGCUUAUGAGAUGGAAAGCAAUGGGCUACAUUUUCUUAAAAAGAACACUACGAUGUCUUUUAUGAAACCUAAAAGAUCAAGGAGGAUUUAGCAGUAAAUUAAGAAUAGAGUGCUUAAUUGAAUUGAGCCAUGAAGCGCGUACACACCGCCCGUCACCCUCUUCAAAUACCCAUAAAGCAAAUUUAUACAUAAUUACGCAAAAUUCUCAUGAGAAGAGGAAAGUCGUAACAAGGUAAGCGUACUGGAAAGUGUGCUUGGAUCAACCAAAGC
rfam:Brugia malayi, FR3, WGS project CAPY01000000 data, contig: ctg1509791